GCAUGGUAGCUCACGCCUAUAAUCCUAGCACUCUGGGAGGCCAAGGCAGUCGGAUCAUCUAAAGUCAGGAGUUCAAGACCAGCCUGGCCAACCUGUGUCUCUGCAAAAAUACAAAAAUUAGCCGGGCAUGGUGACGCAUGCCUGUAGUCCCAGCUACUCGGAAGGCUGAGUCAGGAGAAUCGCUUGAACCCAGUAGGUGGAGGUUGCAGUGAGCGGAGAUCGCGCCACUGCACUCCAGCCUGGGUGACAGAGUGAAACUCUGUGCUGGGAAAAUAAAUAAAUAAAUAAAUAAAUAACUCAUUUACUUAGAAUGAAGCUAAAUUUUACAUUAAACAUAUUUCAUCUUUCUUUGAUUAAGAGCAGGAGAUGCAGGGGUUGCGGGAGGGAGUAGCUCCCCCAACCCCUGCAUUUGAUUUGCCCUGUGGACAGGUGGCCUGGAGACCUUCUGGCAACUAGACAUGGUCCAGAUGGGUAUCAUUAGGCUGCUGAUGCCCUUUUGCGCCGCUCUGUAGUUCUUAUCCUACACUACCUAAAAACAGGAACUAUUUCACAGCCCACCAAGAGAAAAACUCUAAGGCUUGGUCCUAUGAAUGAAUAAUGAGGGCCAUCUAGUGUCAAAAAAGGUAAUUACAGGCUUUUUGUUUUUGAGAUAGGGUAUCACGUCUAUAGUCCAGGCUGGAAUGCAGUGGCAUUCAGGACUCACUGCACCUUCCACCUCCUGGGCUCAAGCGAUCCUCCUGCCUCGCCCCCACCACCCCCAAAGGUGGCUGAGGCAAGAGAAUGGUGUGAACCCGGGAGGCGGAGCUUGCAGUGAGCGGAGAUCACGCCACUGCACUCCAGCCUGGGUGACAGAGCUAGACUCUGUCUCAAAAAAAAAAAAAAAAAAAAAAGGUAUAAACCAUAUACUUCCCAAAAUGGCAAUUUAAGGAUUUAAAGAAAGUCAGAGGAUGAGAUCAUCAUUUUAUGUCACUCUUCAAACUGUUGUGCUAUUAUAAGUUGGAACUCUCGGGCCAGGCAUGGUGGCUCACCCAGGCACGGUGGCCUGUAAUCCAACACUUUGGGAGGCCUAAGUGGGCAGAUCACUUGAGGUCAGCAGUUCAAGACCAGCCUGGCCAACAUGGUAAAACCCCGUCUCUACCAAAAAUAUAAAAAUUAGCUGGGUGAGGUGGCAAGCGCCUGUAAUUCUAGCUACUCCAGAGGCUGAGGCAUGAGAAUCGCUCGAACCUGAGAGGUGGAGGUUGCAGUGAGCCAAGAUCAUGCCACUGCAUUUCAGCCUGGGCAACACAGUGAGACUCUCUCAAAAAAACAAAAGUUGGAACUGUGGUAACACUUGGGGGAUAGUGGUGACAGCAAGGGGACAUAAUAGAGGCUUCUGGGAGUGGGUGUUAUGUUCUAUUUCCUGAUCUGGGUCUGGUUACAUGGGUAUGUUCAUGUGAAAGUUGUUCAAGCCAUGUAGUUAUAUGCACUUCUCUGAACGUGUAUGCCAAUAAAGUUUCUAAAUAUGCUACCCUUUCCUACUGGAAUCCUUAUAUAGCUAUAAUUUUAAACAACUGUACACUCUUAAAGAAAAGUUUGUUAUUUGUGCAUCUUGUCACAUAGGCUCUAUGAGGGCCAAGAUGGCGCCCUGAUUUGGCACUGGUAUUGCCACACCAUAAGAAGGUCAGAUUCCCCCCAGGGCCUGUAGUGCAAUGUCACCUUCCAAACCACAGGUAAUUGGUCAAGAGAGAACGAAUGGCCAAGCAACGCAAGAAGAGAAGCACACCUACCUUGCUCUCCUGUGUCACAGCGUACUCCACUACCUCGGCUCCAUUUUCAUUGUGAUAAACUAAAUCAAAUUUCCCAGGUUCUCUCAAGGCUGAAACAAGAAGAUAGGGAGGAAAGAGAGUAAGUCAUUUUUCAAUAGUUAAAAAUGUUCCUCUAUGGGGAAUUUAUAUCAUUAAGAAAACAACCACAAACAAACUGUCAAUUAAUGUGAAGGCUGGGUAUGUACAGGAAAGCACAGGGUGCUCAAUACUGGGGGAUCCUGAGAAAAACUCUGGACCAGGGGGACUUCUCAGCCAUUUAUCAGAGAAAAUCUUUCCUUCAUAAGCUUGAUGAACUGUCAUUAGUACUACCAGAAUUGAAUAUGGCACCACAAGAUAAUCCCCAAAAUUAAUUAAUUUAUGUGUUUCAACAAGGGAAGGUAAUAUGAAAUGCUGCUCUGUCCUUAGAAAUCACAUAUGCUUCCUACUACUUGGUAACACAGGCAGUCCCCCUUUUUUUUUUAAGACAGAGUCCUGCUUUAUCGCCCAGGCUGUAGUGUAGUGGCGCAAUCUCGACUCACUACAACCUCUACCUCCUGGGUUCAAGUGAUUCUUGUGCCUCAGCCUCCUGAGUAGCUGGGAUUACAGGCAUGCACCACUAUGCCCAGCUAAUUUUUGUAUUUUUAGUUGAGACAGGGUUUCACCAUGUUGGCCAGGUUGGUCUCAAACUUCUGGCCUCAAGUGAUCUGCCCGCCUCGGCCUCCCAAAGCGCUGGGAUUACAGGCGUGAGCCACCACACCCGGCCUCAGUCCUUGCUUUCUAUGGUAAAAUGGGAUUGGAAAAAUGACUGUGCAAGCUGAAACCACGCAAAACAAUCUUAAUAAUCAAUAGGAAAAAUUAUUAUCGUCUUACGAGUUUUAAAAAAUUUUGCCAAAACAUUAAAAACCUUUACUACAUAGGGAAAUUAAAAAAUAGUAAAAUAAAUAUAUUGUACUUAUGAGUACACUGUAAUUACAUUAGGAACACUAAGAACUAACUUUCUUUUUCUCUUUCCUUCUACACGUUUUAUUUCUUUGUAAGAAACUUAUCAGGGGGAGUUUGAACAGUGCUUGUGUUCUUGCCCUGUAACUUACAAUACAGAGCAAGCAUCUUCUCUAUGCUUUGUGCAACUGUUAUACUCUUUUCUAAGUUUGAAACUGCUUUCUACAUUUUAUCCUUUGAACUUCUAAUGUCGUGAAAUAGCUCAAAGAAUUUGUUUUUUACUUUGUAAAAUCUUUGUUUUUGCUGGUGUCACUUUGGGGACAUUUUCAUCCUUUUUGCCACAACCACUUUCCUCAUUUAUGUCAAUAAGUUCACCUCACUGGCAGUGUCAACAUUCCUACAGUGAGCUAUUUCUUCUACAGACUCUCCUUAAACUCAGUUUGGAUGGCACUUUCAGCAUUACCACUUUUGUUUCUUUGCUGUGCCUUUAUCUUUGUGGGCCAAUUCCCUACUUCGAUUAUACGUGUUGUAAAAUGUCAUGCAGGUUUAUAAGUGAGAGACAAGGAGGCACCACAACUGCAUGCUCUGCUCUGUAUGUGAACUGAAUAACAGAUGCACAGUGACCAGUCACUGACGGACUCUGAAAGUACUGACUUGACUGGUAAUGGAUCAUGACGCGUAUCUGUUAUUUAUGUUAUAUAGUGAUAUGUGGACUAAAGAGCUAGCAGUACUUCAUGCACUUACAGUUAACAUAUGCAAUGUUGCUGGGGGACUAGUAUUACUUAACUAAACCAGGGUAACUGAAAUAUAUGUAUAUCAGAACCACCACAUCAAGGACAAGUGACAUUGCUAUUAGAGAACAGAUAAAUCCAUUUCUUUCUUUCUUUUUUGCUUUUGAGACAGGGUCUUGCUCACUCAGCCUGGAGUGCAGUGACGCAAUCAUGACUCACUGCAGCCUCGACCUCCUGGGCUCAAGUGAUCCUCCCACCUCAGCCUCUCAAGUAGCGAGGACUACAAGCAUGUACCACCACACUCAGCUAUGUUUUGUUUUUUUUUUUUACGACAGAGUCUCACUAUGCUGCCCAGGCUGGUCUUGAACUCCUGGGCUCAAGUGAUCCUCCCACCUUCGCCCCCGAAGCCAUUUCUUGAUGCCCUAAAGAAGAAAAGUUCUAAGUGGAUGUCAUCACUAUUAAUCACCUGACAAGCACUGAUCAGGCUGUAUGCACAGAAUUUGACAGUGGACAAACUUUUCUGUCCACCGUUCCUAAGAAAGGGGAUUUCUAUAAAUGAAAUCUCAUCAGAAGAAAGGUUGGAAACCUGGCCAGGCACGGUGGCUCAUGCCUGUAAUCCCAGCACUUUGGGAGGCUGAGGUGGGAGGAUCACGAGGUCAGGAGAUCGAGACCGUCCUGGCUAACACAGUGAAACCCCAUCUCUACUAAAAAUACAAAAAAUUAGCCAGGUGUGGUGGCGGGUGCCUGUAGUCCCAGCUGCUCGGGAGGCUGAGGCAGGAGAAUGGCGUGAACCCGGGAGGCGGAGCUUGCACUGAGCCGAGAUCGCCCACUGCACUCCAGCCUGGACAACAGAGUGAGACUCCAUCUCAAAAAAAAAAGAAAGGUAGGAACCCAGUGUAAGUUAUAUAUAAACAUUUACUUAAUAUCAUAAACGAACUUUGUUCAAAAACUCUUUCGACUGAUUUCUGUUAGCUGAAUCUUUUAUUCAAUCCCUUAUCUAAAAAUAAACAGAAGGCCAGGUGCGGUGGUUCAUGCCUGUAACCUCAACACUUUGGGAGGCCAAGGUGGGUGGAUCACGAGGUCAGGAGAUCGAGACCAUCCUGGCUAACAUGGUAAAACCCCGUCUCUACUAAAAAUACAAAAAAUUAGCCGGGCAUGGCGGCCAGCGCCUGUAGUUCCAGCUACUCGGGAGGCUGAGGCAGGAGGAUGGUGCGAACCUGGGAGGCAGAGCUUGCAGUGAGCCAAGAUAGCGCCACUGCACUCCAGCCUGGGCGACAGCAACACUCCGUCUCAAAAAUAAACAAACAAACAAACAAACAAACAAACAGAAAACAGGCUGGGCACAGUGGCUCACACCUGUAGUCUCAGCACUUUGGGAGGCCAAGGCAGGUGGAUUGCUUGAGGCCAAGAAUUCAAGACCAACCUGGCCAACAUGUCAAAAUCCAUCUCUACUAAAAAUACAAAAAUUAGCUGGACAUGGUGGUGUGUGCCUGUAGUCCCAACUACUCUGCAAGCUGAGGCAUGAGAAUCACUUGAACCUGGGAGGCGGAGGCUGCAGUGAGCCAAGAUUGUGCCACCACACUCCAGCCUGGGCGAUAGAGUGAGACUCUGUCAAAAAAAAAAGGAAAACAAUUAAUUGCUUUAGGAUCUUCUAAAGGAAAAGGAAUCUCCCCUGCCCUCUGGCCAGGGACCCCUACAGUACACCCCAAGUUAAGCUACAUAUUAUAAAAGCCCUCUUAUUCCACGCAUUCAGUUCCAGUACCAGGUGGGGUUCAUCAGAGAUAAAUCCAGCAACCAUUUAAAAUGAUAUGUGAAAGUGUAUGUAUACACACACUUCAGACAUUUUGUUUUGACUUAAUAUACAAAAGUAUAUUCAUUUGACAAUCUUUUGAAAUAGAGCUGAGUAGGUCUUAUGAGUUCACUGAAUAGAGCUCUUUUUUUAAUAAACCAUACCAUUGUAUUGUCUGCAAUUUCCACAAUUUACAGUUUGGGGGUUUUUAAAAUAUUUUUUGAGACUAAGUCUUGCUCUGUCACUCAGUCUGGAAGGCAGUUGCACUAUCUCGGCUCACUGCAACCUCCACCUCCCGGGUUCAAGCGAUUCUCCUGCCUCAACCUUUCCAGUAGGUGGGAUUACAGGCGUGUGCCAUGACGCCCGGCUAAUUUUUGUAUUUUUAGUAGAGACAGGGUUUCACCAUGUUGGCCAGGAUGGUCUCAAACUCCUGACCUCAAGUGAUCCACCAACCUUGGCCUCCCAAAGUGCAGGGAUUACAGGUGUGAGCCACCGUGCCCAGCCUGGGUUUUUCUUAAAUAAGGCAAGAUUGCAAAAAUUUGCAAGGCAAUCUAAGUGCAGAAUCUUCCUCAGUUUUUACAAAAUUCCUCCCAAUCUUUUAUAGCUGACCCACUCAUCCAUAAUUUCAUAGCAUUUCCUGAGUCAGCAUUCAACUUAGGCUUCCUAGGAAUAAUUCUUUUUAUAAUCGAUUUUCAUCAGUUCAUAUAAUCUUUUAUGAAAUUAUAUAAUUACAGUAAUAAGAACUAGCCCAACAGCUUUGGAAUAUAUCCAACAUCUCUUAUGAGCCCCCAGGGCUAAAGUGUGCUGAAAGAAGUGGGGAGCGCCAGUUAUAUGGAGGCCAAGGAAGAGAACAUCUCCUGUGUAUAAAAGCUAUUUAUAAACCACUGUAGAUAGAGCCUACAUUUUCAAAUUAUUUUCUAAAAGACUCACCAGGUAAGGAUGAAAGAAUUUCUAUAUCUACUUGCUGGGUCUCUGGAUUGUGGCUUAAUAUUCUUCCUUCCUUUCAAAAAUAAAAGUCCAAGUCAAAAUCAACAUGUAAAACACUGUGAAUAUACUAAAAACCACUGAAUUGUAGACUUUAAAAUGGUUAAAAUGUUGAAUUUUAUGUUAUGUGAAUUUUAUCUCAGUUGAAAAAUUUAGAAAUAAAUCCACAUAUAGAGAAAAUAAAAACAGGUGGACUGAUAAACACUUUAUGUGAAUAUACAGAAAUAUCUUUAGAGGCAAAAUAAAACAUUUAAAUCAUAAAUGGCAGACACUAUCUUAAAUAACUCGAUGAAAGUAAAGAUUACACCAGGGAACCAAAAGUGACUGAAUAAGGGAAAAGGAGAAAAAAAUCACACCAGGCUGAUAUAUUCAAGUGAGCACUGACCAUCACAGCAUUCAUCAGGAGAGACUAGAUAUAUCCUAAUGGUGCAGCCUCGGUUCCUGAUGCUUUUAGAACCCUUCUAAAACAGUGAUCACAACCCCCCAGGAGAAACCAGAAGGCACUUUAUCACUGUUAAGAUCCCAAUUCUCCUUCUCCCAGGUCUCCAGCUGUGGGAGCUGAUUUUCUAAUGCAUCAAGAGGAUGCACUGCCCAUGCACGUGGGCGAUGGGGAGACACAUGGUAGCCUCCGGGGGUAUAUACUGAGAGGCCAAGCAACCAGUUCCUCCUGCCUCUACCUGGAAUUUCUGAGCACAGUCAACAGUUUUUUUUAAAACCAGACUCAACAGGGAAUCAGGGGCUUGGGAGACUACAUUUUUUAGUACAGAAUUGAACCAAUUUAAUUUUUGGAGACAAGGUUAAUGAAUAAAGCAGAUGAUCAAGCUGGAUAACUGCGUUUGAGGUCAAAGCAAAAAAGUAGGACCAAUUUUCAUUCUUAAAAUGUUUUUGAAAGCAAUUUCAAAAAUCUUCAAAAAAUUUUGCCAACUAAAGUAGGCAAAACACCUUCCAACAUUAAUAACUAUGACAACUAAUACCAAUUUAAUAUGCAAUUUUUUUUAAGAGUCUCGUUUUGUCACCCAGGCUGGAGUGCAGUGGCAUGAUCUCAGCUCACUGCAACCCCCACCUACUGCGUUCAAGUGAUUCUUGUGCCUCAGUCUCCUGAGUAGCUGGGGCUACAGGUGCACGCCACCAUGCCAGGCUCAUUUUUAUAUUUUUAGUAGAGAUGGGGUUUUGCCAUGUUGGCCAGGCUGGUCUCGAACUCCUGACCUCAAGUGAUUCACCUACCUUGGCCUCCCAAAGUGCUGGGAUUACAGGCAUGAGCCACUGUGCCUGGCCAUUAAUAAGCAAUUUUUAAAAAUCAGUAUCAUCUAGAAUUACAAUUUAUAGAGGUUGUGGGAUGUAUCAAUACAAUAUUCAUUUCCAUUUCCUCAUAUAUCACACAAUUAAAUGUUUUCUAUGGUAGGGUGACAAAACACCCUGGUUUGUUCAAGACAGGUCUGUACAUCUUUCCAGCAUAACUAUUAAUAGCAUCCCUUUGACUCACAAGUAUCCUGAUUCAGGUGAUAAAUUACAUGAUCACCUCAUCCAUAGGAGAUAGUAAGUGCCUAAGAAGAUAAAAAACAAAACACCAACGACCUAGAACUAACCCACCAGAUCCCUUCAUUAACUGAUUCUUCCAGCCUGCUUUUGAGGAAAGAUUUUUUUUUUUUUUUUUUUUGAGAUGGAGUCU
rnacentral:lncRNA from 10 species